rnacentral:lncRNA from 1 species
AUUCUGGCUGCACUUGUGGGCUAGCAAAAUGUCGACUGAGGAGCUGUGGCCAGCUGUGGGAAGUCACACCCCUCAAACCUCAGAUUACAAUGGAACAUUAACAAAUAGUUCACUGAAGAUUUCAGGACUGUAAUCAAAUGAGGUGCUGGGCAGAGAGGGGGCCCAUCUUUGCCUUGGGUGCAUGGCCAAAGCUUGCUUUUAGAGAGAUAAAUCUUUCAACACUGGAGUUUUCUGUUGGUUGCUGAAGCUUUUAAUGACAUAGGACUUUUGGGGGAGUUAUAAGGGAAUUUCAGAGACCAUGACCUAUAAAACCCCCUUCCACUAAACUUUAGACAAAAUGUCUUAUGUAUGACCCUGUGAAGAAAUGUUAGACAAUACUUGGAAAUAUUCAAAAGGAUAAUAGCUUGUCCUUGCAAAGUUAUAAUGCAGCACUAUCAAGCCCAUCCAAGUUGUUUCAUUCUCUAGGAAGAUACAUCUAUGUUUGACUUACUAUUUACCAUUGAUUAGGACCAGGACUCUAUGAAAGGAGAAGUUAAUUUGUAGUUUGAUAAGCUGCAAACAAUAUUUAGAGAGUUGCAAAUUAUUUCUAUUUGGUAAAAAAAAAUAAACAAAUGUCCCUGAAAGUUAGGCUUAUAUUUCCUUGAAGCAUAUAAAAGUUUUGUAUCUAUCUUUGCAAUCAUAUUUUAACAUUUUUUACUGACUAUAGAUACAUAAGUCUGUCCUACACCCUUGCUUCCUUGUUAAUGAGUAAAAUAUGUCUUUGAUAACUGCUCACCAUAUAUUUGUAUAAAGGUCACAUUUCUACCUUUUCAAAAUUUGCUUUGGCAGCGUCUUAGCAAUUCUUGUAGAGAGAAUCAACUACAGUUUAAGGAAUUUAGCAAUGUGAAGAUUAUAAAGUGCAAAGAGGAAAAUCCCACUGGGAGUAUAUGUGCAAUUUAACUUGAUCCUGGCCUUCGGCUGUUCAUAAACACUGCCUAGAAGCUGUUCCUCAUGGUGUAUUGGUGUUGGACUAGAGAACCAAAGCAAAAUAAACAACAUAAUGCAAAAUGAAAAAGCCCUAUGGAAAUGAAUGGAUGAACAACGAAAUUAUAAUUUUAGAAGUAAAAUGGAAUCUGGUAGUUGUGGCUGCACAGUGAGCAUCCUUCUAGCUUCUAAAUUCUGUCUACUGGUACUGUCUGCCCAUGCCCAGAAACUAUUUUCAAGGCUAUAUGUACUGCAUGGAAUUUCUGGUGCAAAGAAAACCAAGCUUUAUCAAAUAUAUGUUAACCUGAUCUCUACAACAAUCAUUUCCUCCUCCAGAGGAGAGGAGACAUAUUAUAAAGACCCUAAAGACAGUGCCUUCUCAAAUCCAGACAACCUUUACUGGUCCCACCCAAUGCCUCCAAUCCAUUGAUAAGGACUUGCCUGAGAUCCGAUUCUAGAAACACUUGUUAGGUAUAGUAAUAAAGGAUUACAAUGACACUUAUUUAUUUUUCAACCAGCUUGGUAAUGAAGCUGACAGUCUGUUGACAGACAAGGAUAUUUGUGAAGUAAAGCAUGCAUUUGUGUGUGUGUGUGUGUGUGUGUGUGUGUGUAUUAAAGGGCUCCUGCUUGAAGCCACUCUUCAAUUUGGC